AGAUUAAUACAAGAUGGUGUUUCACUUUCGCAUGUUAUUGAAACUAAAGAUUUAUCGGUAUCGGAUGGGGAUGCGUGACAUUAGAUAGUAGGCGGGGUAACGGCCCACCUAGUCUACGAUGUCUAGGGGUUCUGAGAGGAAGGUCCCCCACACUGGAACUGAGACACGGUCCAGACUCCUACGGGAGGCAGCAGUGAGGAAUAUUGGUCAAUGGUCGGAAGACUGAACCAGCCAAGUAGCGUGAAGGAUGAAGGUUCUAUGGAUUGUAAACUUCUUUUAUACGGGAAUAAAACCUCCCACGUGUGGGAGCUUGUAUGUACCGUAUGAAUAAGCAUCGGCUAACUCCGUG
rnacentral:rRNA from 1 species